rnacentral:rRNA from 1 species
AGUUCAGGAGUAUGAUUCUUCCGCUGCGACACUUAUAGAAGCCUUUGCGGCCCUGAAAUGGGUUGUUACCGCGACUGAAAUAAUGGUAACUUUACGCAAGUCAGCAUAGCUGGCAACAUAAUCGAAUUGCGGGAAGCCCUAAAGCCCAGCAGUACCAACUAUUUCUGGAAACAGGAACAGGGCUUAUGUUAACUACAUAAGAAGGUCAAAAUCUGCUGGGAUGUACAAUGGGUAAUCCGCAGCGAAGCUCCUACGGGUCUUAAAAAGCCUAUGGAGAACGUUCACAGACUAAGUGGUUAUGGGCAAGGUGAAAUUAUCCCUUGUUUAAGAUAUAGUCGGGUCCUUUAGGCAACUGAAGGAGUAAGUCAAAGCAUUUUGAUAAAAGAGACAAUUACAAUUAUUAGAUUGUCUUUUUGUAAAUACCGUUCCGUUGGUGAACCAGCGGAAGGAUCAUUAAUGAGAUCAUGCCCUUCGGGGUAGACCUCCCACCCUGUGUUCUCUACCAAGGUUGCUUUGGCAGGUCGCCUUCGGGCUCCCAGCUCCGGCUGGGGCGCGCCUGCCAGAGGACCACCCAACGCUGACUGUACGUGUCGUCUGAGCAUUAUAUAAAUUGUUAAAACUUUCAACAACGGAUCUCUUGGUUCUGGCAUCGAUGAAGAACGCAGCGAAAUGCGAUAAGUAAUGUGAAUUGCAGAAUUCAGUGAAUCAUCGAAUCUUUGAACGCACAUUGCGCCCCUUGGUAUUCCGAGGGGCAUGCCUGUUCGAGCGUCAUUUCAACCCUCAAGCCCAGCUUGGUCUUGGGCUCCGCCGGGAACGGCGAGCCUUAAAAUUAGUGGCGGUGCCGUCGAGCUCUACGCGUAGUAGCAAAACCCGCGUGUGAGUCUCGGCGGUCGCUGGCCAGCAACCCCUAACUUCUAUGGUUGACCUCGGAUCAGGUAGGGAUACCCGCUGAACUUAAGCAUAUCAAUAAGCGGAGGAAAAGAAACCAACAGGGAUUACCUCAGUAACGGCGAGUGAAGCGGUAACAGCUCAAAUUUGAAAUCUGGCCCUCUCAGGGUCCGAGUUGUAAUUUGUAGAAGAUGCUUCGGGCGUGGCUCCGGUCUAAGUUCCUUGGAACAGGACGUCGUAGAGGGUGAGAAUCCCGUAUGUGACUGGCUGCCUCCGCCCGUGUGAAGCUCUUUCGACGAGUCGAGUUGUUUGGGAAUGCAGCUCUAAAUGGGUGGUAAAUUUCAUCUAAAGCUAAAUAUUGGCCAGAGACCGAUAGCGCACAAGUAGAGUGAUCGAAAGAUGAAAAGCACUUUGGAAAGAGAGUUAAACAGUACGUGAAAUUGUUGAAAGGGAAGCGCUUGCAAUCAGACUUGCGCGCGGUCGAUCAUCGGGGGUUCUCCCCCGGGCACUCGGCCGUGCUCAGGCCAGCAUCGGUUUGGGUGGCUGGACAAAGGCCCUGGGAAUGUGGCUCCUCUCGGGGAGUGUUAUAGCCCGGGGCGCAAUGCAGCCUACCUGGACCGAGGACCGCGCUUCGGCUAGGAUGCUGGCGUAAUGGUUGUAAGCGACCCGUCUUGAAACACGGACCAAGGAGUCUAACAUCUAUGCGAGUAUUUGGGUGCUAAACCCAUCUGCGUAAUGAAAGUGAACGGAGGUGAGAACCCUGAAGGGUGCAUCAUCGACCGGUCCUGAUGUCUUCGGAUGGAUCUGAGUAAGAGCAUAGCUGUUGGGACCCGAAAGGUACGUUAUAUUAAUCUUUUUGUAUAUUGAGAUCUUGCUAACUUGUGGACAGAUGGUGAACUAUGCCUGAAUAGGGUGAAGCCAGAGGAAACUCUGGUGGAGGCUCGCAGCGGUUCUGACGUGCAAAUCGAUCGUCAAAUUUGGGUAUAGGGGCGAAAGACU